GCCGCCGGUACGGCCGCGGAGCUAACGCGCUCUGCGCAGCGCCCGGCUGCCGGGCAGUGCGGAGCAGAGAUUCGGGCUCCUCCAUCCGCAGCGCUACCAAACGAAGCUGAGCGAAGAUGUUUGAUUUCUUCUUGAACGCUUCCGAACGCCUCGAAACAACCGCUGUAAGGUCUCCGGCGUUCUGCAAGGUCGCCGGGCUGCGAGCGCUCAGUGCCCGAGGAAUUGAACUUGCCCCCACUCCACUGUGGAGACGAAAUUUCACCCUUCCUCCCUGUGCGACUGCGCUGCCCGCUGGAGCCCUCUGUUUGCAGCUUGAGCCCACCUCCCUCCUGCCGGUUCUACUAUAGUUUCCCCGGUAUUUCUGCACAUUUUAAUUUCCUUCAGAGUGGGUGUAAAGCCUCUGUGGGUCAAACCGGUGAUGAGAACGUUUUUAUUUUUCUGAAAGGAUGGGAUUUCCCAUGCUUGGGCCUUUCCUGCAACAGAGCCCAGGACCUAAGGCUCCCUGUGAAAGCUUUGGCUUAACUCCCUGUGCUUCACUGCUUCCAAGCAUACACCGAGGCAAAGCAAGUAUUCACUGGUAAAAAUCAGCGCAAAAAUUAGCUGUCACCGAUUGAUUGCCAAUAAAAAGGCCCACAAAUCCCCCUCA